AGUGGUAACAACAGCUCCAGUCCAGCCUCCAGGGCCCUGCGGGAAUGUGGGCCCAGCACACCCCAGUCCUCCCAGUUUUCAUGAAAGGCCGGAAAUCAAGGUUUCCAUGUGAUAUUUCCUGACAUUUUUAAAUAAAUUUGAGGUAAAAUACACAUAAAACAUGCCAUCUUAACCAUUUUUAAGUUUGCAGUUCAGUGGCUCGAAGAAGUUCAUUCACACUGUUGUGUAAGCACCACCACCAUCCAGCUCGAGAACUCUCUCAUCCUGCAACACUUCCUCUGACCUUUUAAAUGUUGCCAACACAUUCAAAAAAAUUUAAAACACAGUGAAGGUCGAGGAGACCCUGGUGUGGGCCCAUGUGGGCCACUUUGUAACCUCUGACAUGUAUCACCUCAUGAACUCACACAAUAACCCAUGGGGCAGCAGCAACAAUGCCCCUUCCACAGAUGAGGAAACUGAGGCUGGGAGAGGCCCAAUCACUUGUCUAAGAUUCCACAGCCAAUGAGGACGGCAGAGCUGCGAUCGAAGCUGCAUUUGUUACCGGACUAAACGAGGGUCCCUUCUGCACCAGAAGUAGUCGUUUCACAAAGUGGAACUUUUAUUUGGAGCAUGUAGCAAAGAAAAAUCGAGACAAUAGGGAAUAAUUUCACAAAACUCUGGUCCCCCGAGCAUGGGGAGAGGGGUAGUUUUACUUGGGGUAGGGAAUGAAUCCUCAAAGGGGAAGAUUGAUCAUCGCGUGUAGGGGUGGGCACGAGCUUACACACGCGUGGUUUGAAGUCAUGUUUUUAGAUACAUCGCAUGACCUAAAAAUCGCUGCUUCACCCCUCCCAGAGGAGGGGAAUCUGUGAUGAUGAUGAGGUCAGGUUGCUUUAGUAGAACUCUCUGCCCAUCUGCGCAGUGUCAGUCUUGGUUGUGGUCUGGGCCGGUUCAGAGGCCACUGGGACCAGGGCGGGUGUCACUUAGAGCUUCUUCCUGGAACAUAGCAGAAAACCGCAUAAUCUCAAGGCCCCAAGGUGUUAGGUAAUGGAACAACUGCACC
rnacentral:lncRNA from 1 species